rnacentral:misc_RNA from 1 species
GAUGAAGAACGCAGCGAAAUGCGAUAAGUAGUGUGAAUUGCAGAAUUCAGUGAAUCAUCGAAUCUUUGAACGCACAUUGCGCCCCCUGGUAUUCCGGGGGGCAUGCCUGUCCGAGCGUCAUUGCUGCCCUCAAGCCCGGCUUGUGUGUUGGGUCUCGUCCCCCUUCCCGGGGGGACGGGCCCGAAAGGCAGCGGCGGCACCGCGUCCGGUCCUCGAGCGUAUGGGGCUUUGUCACCCGCUCUGUAGGCCCGGCCGGCGCUUGCCGAUCAACCAAAACUUUUUUCCAGGUUGACCUCGGAUCAGGUAGGGAUACCCGCUGAACUUAAGCAUAUCAAUAAGCGGAGGA